GAGAAUUAUGAUAGCGCGAACACGUCAGGUCAGAGGUCAACUAGCCCUGGGCAGCGGUCGGAGGAGGAGAACAAGGUUCCAAGUUGGAAUCCGCCCUGGACGGGAUGACAGACCACAUCAGGGUGCAAUCAGUCUUUCUAUUUAAUGCAGCACCCUUCAGGUGUGCAACAAGUUUCUUUGUGGUGGCGUCCUGUGCCAACACCACCUACUCAAAACAUCAUGAUGCACCAACAUUGAUGGACUGAAAGCCAGAAGUCUACGUGACCAUCAUCAUCAAGUCCUUCCAUGA